UACGGAGGGUGCAAGCGUUAUCCGGAUUUACUGGGUUUAAAGGGUGCGCAGGCGGAUAUGUAAGUCAGUGGUGAAAUCUCUAGGCUUAACCUGGAAAUUGCCGUUGAUACUAUAUAUCUUGAAUGCUGUGGAGGUAAGCGGAAUAUGUCAUGUAGCGGUGAAAUGCUUAGAUAUGACAUAGAACACCUAUUGCGAAGGCAGCUCACUAAGCAAAUAUUGACGCUGAGGCACGAAAGCGUGGGGAUCAAACAGG
rnacentral:rRNA from 1 species